GUACAUCUUUCCAUAGAUGCUGCCUGGCUUGCUGAGUUCCUCCAGUAUUUUGUGUGUGUUACAUAAACUAGGCCGUCUUCAGCAUGGUCUCCUCAAGGAAAAAUCUUGCCUGAGAAAUCUGUUGAAAUUCCUUGAAGAAAUAACAAGCAGGAUGGACAAUGGAGUAUCAGUUGACUUGUACUUGGACUUUCAGAAGGCCUUUGACAAGGGGUGCUGGAAUAAAUGGCAUUAAAGUUGCAGAAUGGAUGUCAGAUGUAGAAUGCUCUGCAGUUCACUUCAGUUUAUACUAAAGAUGAACUCGAAAAACUCACACUCUCUGGAAAGAUCGAGGGGAGCAAACCUACAGGAAGACCUCGGCUUAUGUACAUCAAAAGCCCAGCCAGGUGGCUACACGUGGAGGAAAUGGAAGUCAUCCAAAGAACAAGGGAUAGAUCAGUAUGGAAAACCAUGGUCACCAACAUCCGCGUCAGAUAUGGU